AAGAGGAGAGCAUGUCAAGGUAGCCAAGGAGACUGCCUGAAACCAACCAAUAAAAGGUCACCAUUAUAUUAAUAAUGAUAAAAUUAAAAACCUUAUAAGUAAUAUUGGAGCAGGCAAGUCAUCCUUGGCUACUAAACAAUAAUAUAACUCUCCUCU
rfam:Solanum lycopersicum cultivar Heinz 1706 chromosome 7, whole genome shotgun sequence.